AAGGCUACCCGCUGAACUUAAGCAUAU
rnacentral:rRNA from 1 species